AUGCUCCUACAUUCGGAAUGGAGCUGGGAGCGCCAACCGGUUGGACGCCUGAAGGAUGUAAAGUACAAUAAUGCAUGGGACGACAAAGACGACGAACUACGGCUCCCCACUUGCGCUUACAAGUGGGAUGUGGUAUCCAAGAUGGAGAACAAUGUCAAUCUCAUGUACCGGCAGUGCAUCACCGAGUUGGGUGCAAUUACGGCCGAGCAGGUAAACGCGGAACACUACAUCACUAAUUCUCAUGCUUUUAUGAAAACUCGACAUCAAUGUUGCCUUGUUGUGCUAUGUUCCAGGUGGAAUAGGAUCCAUAUGGCGCCAAGGAUACAUUUAGUAAUUCACGAGAAUUUGUCCUGA
rnacentral:rRNA from 1 species